rnacentral:rRNA from 1 species
UUGCCUUUCUCAGACGCUGCGGUCGCGGCCCACGCUUACCCGUGGCGGUACGCGCCGCACGUCUGCACCCUUUUUUUACGAGUACCUUCGUUCUCCCUCGGCAGGGCAACCUGCCGUUGGAACCAUACAAAACCUUUUUUUGCAUCUAGCAUUACCUGUUCUGAUACAAACAAUCGUUACAACUUUCAACAAUGGAUCUCUUGGCUCUGGCAUCGAUGAAGAACGCAGCGAAAUGCGAUAAGUAGUGUGAAUUGCAGAAUUCAGUGAAUCAUCGAAUCUUUGAACGCACAUUGCGCCCCUUGGUAUUCCAUGGGGCAUGCCUGUUCGAGCGUCAUCUACACCCUCAAGCUCUGCUUGGUGUUGGGCGUCUGUCCCGCCUCUGCGCGUGGACUCGCCUCAAAAUCAUUGGCAGCGGUCCUUGCCUCCUCUCGCGCAGCACAUUGCGCUUCUCGAGGGGCGUGGGUCGCGUCCACGAAGCAACAUUACCGUCUUUGACCUCGGAUCAGGUAGGGAUACCCGCUGAACUUAAGCAUAUCAAUAAGCGGAGGAA